rnacentral:rRNA from 1 species
CAGCCGUAAACUAUGCUCGCUAGGUGUCAGGCAUGGCGCGACCGUGUCUGGUGCCGCAGGGAAGCCGUGAAGCGAGCCACCUGGGAAGUACGGCCGCAAGGCUGAAACUUAAAGGAAUUGGCGGGGGAGCACAACAACGGGUGGAGCCUGCGGUUUAAUUGGAUUCAACGCCGGACAUCUCACCGGGUAAGACAGCUGAAUGAUUGUCAAUCUGAAGGUUUUACAUGACUAGCUGAGAGGAGGUGCAUGGCGUAGACGUCU